AUGUAAACACUCAAAAAGUAUAAGGUUAAUUGUAGUCUACUUUCCUGUAUGGAUAAUCUCCUCCGUACAUUAAUUAAAUGAAUAUAUUCAUUUUCACACUUUACCUAAUACUACAGCUCGUUUUUUCUCUCCCCUCUCCAGAAGUUUCCGAGGGCCAUUUGCUUCUCACAAACUUCACCAGUUUUUCAAUUUCUGCUCAUUCUCUUUCAAAUUCUCUCUUACAUUCUUCACAGAAUCUAAUACGGUAUCACAGCAUCUCUAAAUUUUUUUUUCUCCUAUUGAAAUCAUUCGGUGUUCCCGAAACCCUAGGGUUCAUUUCGGUUCUUUGAGAGGUUGAGGUUCCAGUACUUUCGUCAAGAAAGCGAUUAUGGAGAUUUCAGGUGUUUCUAGUUCAGGGAAGAUCGAUGAAGCUCUCGCACAUUCCUUCUCUCUCCACCCGGACAAGAAUCCCUCGCUCAUGCUGACCUCCACCGUUCUCAAAAAGCAAUGGUUUUCCAAAGAUAGCUAAUACAGGUUGCUUAUAACUUUAAACACGCCUAAAACCAAAAUCUCAACCCUUCAACAAAAGCCAUCAAGAAGAGAGCAACUACCGUGAUUGUUAAAGUGAGAGCCAUGGAGGAGUCGCAAGGCGAAACAGGCUUACAAAUGGAGCGCGGCGAUGACGCACCGGUGAUGGAUUGCUCAUGAAGACGAAGAGGGAGCAGAGUCGGAGGCGGUGUUGAUGGAUUCCGUACAUGGAGAGUCUUUGAGAAGCUAAUUUCAGAGAAGAGCCAAGUUGAAAUUGCAAGGUGUAUGCAUAGUCUAUUAUAUGUACCGGCAUAUGUAUGCCCGAUAUAUUUGGUAAUAAUUUUAGGAAAGUAAGGGUAUUCAAGGCAAUUCACCUUAAAUAAUUAAUCCCAUCAAGUUGUUGCAUUUGUCUCCUAAUAUAGUAUUUGAGUCCUUUCUCACGUUUUUCUUGUUAAUUGGGAAAUUGAGUUGACCGUGACUUUAGGGACGCCGGGGGUUGAUUGAGACGCAACGGUAUAAUAGCUGAAGCUGAAGCAGCUGCAAGCAAAUCGCAGAGGAAGCUCGAAGCUGAUUUGCUUUCAGAUCAAUCCAACACUGCGUGUUCCAGCAUAAUGGCCUUGUUCCAAAGAACAAUGGAGGAGAGGGAAAAAACCAUAGAAGGACUAUUGAGCAAUGAUAGGGUAUCAAAGAUUGUUCUUGUUGGCGAUGCUGGAAUGGGGAAGACGUGGAUUGCAAGAAGGAUAAUUAACACUGCAAUGAAUGAAGGCUUAUGCUACACAACUCUUUG